CGCGCAGGCUGUGCUGCAAGUCAGCUGUGAAAUGUCUGGGCUUAACCCGGGCAUGCGGUUGAGACUGCAGUGCUGGAGUGCUGUAGAGGCAAGUGGAAUUCCCAGUGUAGCGGUGAAAUGCGUAGAUAUUGAGAAGAACACCGGUGGCGAAGGCGACUUGCUGGGCAGCAACUGACGCUGAGGCGCGAAAGCCAGGGGAGCAAACG
rnacentral:rRNA from 1 species